rnacentral:rRNA from 1 species
UACGAAGGGGGCUAGCGUUGCUCGGAAUUACUGGGCGUAAAGCGCACGUAGGCGGUCUUUUAAGUCGGGGGUGAAAUCCUGGAGCUCAACUCCAGAACUGCCUUCGAUACUGGAAGACUCGAGUCCGGGGAGAGGUGAGUGGAACUGGCGAGUGUAGAGGUGAAAUUCGUAGAUAUUCGCAAGAACACCAGUGGCGAAGGCGGACU